rnacentral:other from 1 species
AGUGUUCUGGGGUGUUGGUUACCUGAUAAAUUCAACCACUGUUUGAUCGUAGGGAGAACGUGUUCUGCUGCGUAUGACAAGCUGCAUUUUGGUAGAAGUCAAAAACAGAAGAUAGUCCACCCACCUAGUUGGGGUGUGGUGUGAGAUUUAUCGGGUAACGGCAUUCUGGGCAGAUU